rnacentral:rRNA from 1 species
AUGGCCACCUCCUCCAGCACUGCACCGGCCAACCUCUCUGGUCAGGUCACCGAGAAGCUGACUCGCACCAACUACAUCCUCUGGCGGACUCAAGUCACGCCGCAGCUCCAUGGUGCGGGCUUCUUCGGGUACGUCGACGGCUCCCUGCCUGAGCCAGCCAAACUCAUCGUCACCAAGGACAAGGACGGGAAGGAGGAUACUUCACCGAACCCCCUUCAUCCGGUCUGGAUCCAUGAGGAACAGCAUGUACUCGGAUACCUUCUGAAUAAUCUCUCCAAGGAGGUACUUGUGCAGGUCACCACGAUCGAUCACGCGCAAGAUCUCUGGACAGCACUGGCGAACAUGUUUUCGUCCCAGUCCCUGUGUCGCGUCAACAACAUUCAUGUCGCCCUCGCCAACGCGCAUAAGGGGACGCAACCCGUGGUAAGCUUCUUCGGGCACAUGCGCUCACUUUCAGAUGAGCUGGCGGCGGCUGGCAAGCCGCUCGGAGACGGUGAACUCAUCUCCUACAUCAUCGCCGCCCUCGACAUGGAGUAA